rnacentral:misc_RNA from 1 species
AAGACUAUAGACCUGCGGAGUACCUGCGGAAGGAUCAUUACCGAGUUUACAACUCCCAAACCCAAUGUGAACGUUACCAAACUGUUGCCUCGGCGGGGUCACGCCCCGGGUGCGUCGCAGCCCCGGAACCAGGCGCCCGCCGGAGGAACCAACCAAACUCUUUCUGAAGUCCCCUCGCGGACGUUAUUUCUUACAGCUCUGAGCAAAAAUUCAAAAUGAAUCAAAACUUUUAACAACGGA